rnacentral:rRNA from 1 species
UACGUAGGUCGCGAGCGUUAUCCGGAAUCAUUGGGCGUAAAGCGUCCGUAUGCGGUUUUGUAAGUCCGUGGUUAAAUCCCAGAGCUCAACUCUGGAAUCGUCAUGGAAACUACAACACUAGAGUAGUGCAGAGGCAGAUGGAAUUUCGGAAGUAGGGGUAAAAUCCGUAGAUCUCCGAAGGAACACCAAACGCGAAGGCAUUCUGCUGGGCACUUACUGACGCUGAGGGACGAAAGCGUGGGGAGCAAACAGG